AUUGAACGCUGGCGGCAGGCCUAACACAUGCAAGUCGAGCGCGAAAAGCCUUCGGGCUGAGUAAAGCGGCGGACGGGUGAGUAACGCGUAGGAAUCUACCUGGUAGUGGGGGACAACUUGGGGAAACUCAAGCUAAUACCGCAUACGCCCUAAGGGGGAAAGCGGGGGACCUUCGGGCCUCGCGCUAUCGGAUGAGCCUGCGUAGGAUUAGCUAGUUGGUGGGGUAAAGGCCCACCAAGGCGACGAUCCUUAGCUGGUCUGAGAGGAUGAUCAGCCACACUGGAACUGAGACACGGUCCAGACUCCUACGGGAGGCAGCAGUGGGGAAUAUUGCGCAAUGGGCGAAAGCCUGACGCAGCCAUGCCGCGUGUGUGAAGAAGGCCUUAGGGUUGUAAAGCACUUUCAAUUGGGAAGAAAAGUUUGUCGUUAAUAGCGCCAAGCUCUGACAUUACCUUUAGAAGAAGCACCGGCUAACUCCGUGCCAGCAGCCGCGGUAAUACGGAGGGUGCGAGCGUUAAUCGGAAUUACUGGGCGUAAAGCGCGCGUAGGUGGUUUGUUAAGUUGGAUGUGAAAGCCCUGGGCUCAACCUAGGAACUGCAUCCAAAACUAACUCACUAGAGUACGAUAGAGGGAGGUAGAAUUCAUAGUGUAGCGGUGGAAUGCGUAGAUAUUAUGAAGAAUACCAGUGGCGAAGGCGGCCUCCUGGAUCUGUACUGACACUGAGGUGCGAAAGCGUGGGUAGCGAACAGGAUUAGAUACCCUGGUAGUCCACGCCGUAAACGAUGACAACUAGCUGUUAGGAGACUAUGUCUUUUAGUGGCGCAGCUAACGUUUUAAGUUGUCCGCCUGGGGAGUACGGCCGCAAGGCUAAAACUCAAAUGAAUUGACGGGGACCCGCACAAGCAGUGGAUCAUGUGGUUUAAUUCGAUGCAACGCGAAAAACCUUACCUACUCUUGACAUACUUGGAAGCUCUUGUAAUGAGAGUGUGCUUUUAAGAACCAAGAUACAGGUGCUGCAUGGCUGUCGUCAGCUCGUGUCGUGAGAUGUUCCGUUAAGUCGGAUAACGAGCGCAACCCUUACCCUUAUUUGCCAGCGAUUCGGUCGGGAACUAUAAGGGGACUGCCGGUGAUAAACCGGAGGAAGGUGAGGACGACGUCAAGUCAUCAUGGCCCUUACGAGUAGGGCUACACACGUGAUACAAUGGGAGAGACAGACGGACGCUAAGCCGCGAGGUGGUGCUAAUCCUAGAAACUCUCUCGUAGUCCGGAUUGGAGUCUGCAACUCGACUCCAUGAAGUUGGAAUUGCUAGUAAUCGCGGAUCAGCAUGCCGCGGUGAAUACGUUCUCGGGUCUUGUACACACCGCCCGUCACACCAUGGAAGUGGAUUGCACCAGAAGUAGAUAGUCUAACCUUAGGGAGGGCGUUUACCACGGUGUGCUUCAUGACUGGGGUG
rnacentral:rRNA from 2 species